rnacentral:rRNA from 1 species
AGCAGUCGCCGCGGGAAUACGGGGGGGGCAAGUGUUAUUCGGAAUGACUGGGCGUAAAGGGCACGUAGGCGGUGAAAAGGGUGGAAAGUGAAAGUCGCCAAAACACUGGCGGGGUGCUUUCUUGACCAUUUCACUUGAGUGAGAUAGGGGAGAGUGGAAUUUCGUGUGGAGGGAUCAAAUCCUAAGAUAUACGAAGGAACGCCAACCGCGAAGGCAGCUCUCUGGGUCCCCACUGACGCUGGGGUGCGAAAGCAUGGGGAGCAAACAGGAUCAGAUACCCCUGUAGUCCCUGUCUCUUAUACA